rnacentral:lncRNA from 1 species
GCGGAUGGGGGUGCGGAUCCACACCCCAGAGAAAGGCCCCUCCUGGGCCGCGAGGACCUCGCUGGCGGCCGCUUGGGGGCAGCAGACGCCCGCCCUGCGGGGGAGGUGGGGCCUGCAGGCCCCGGGGCCGCUCUAGGAGCCCGGCAGGCCCGAGCAGGUGGCGGCCCCGUGUUCCGGAAGCCCGGCCCCGAGCGCUGUGAGGGGCACCUGGGGACGCUCAGCGAGUGUCUGUCCCGGCCCUGAGCUCGGUGGAAGACUGCAGAGUCCUGGGCCCGCGAGAAUUCCGGCAGAAUCAGGCCUCUGGACGCUCCAGGGAUGUGUCCUGGUUCCCUGGCUGUUAUUACGAAGCAGCAGUUCAGAUCCGUGGAACUUCUCGACUGUUCUGCCUCACGGUGACUUGAUCCAUCAGCUGAACAGUACAGCAUCUGAUUAAAUUUUAGAGAGAUUGUGCAUGCAGCUCUGGCUGUGGACCUGUGGCAUCGUGAUGACCUGGGAUCAUCAGGUAGCAGAAGGCCAUUGCCUUUGGUGCCUCUCAUUCCCUGUGUGCUGGCCAGCACAUCAUUAUGCCUGAUGGAAGGCUCUGCCAGGCCCUUCCCCAC